CAUGGUUUAUUUCAUGACGACCAAAGAAAAACGACAGUGUCACCCCUCAUGGUUUUUUUCGUGACGACCAAAGAAAAACGACAGUGUCACCCCUCAUGUUUCAGUUGAUGAAAACGACAGUGUUACCCCCUAUAUUUUAAUGGAUAAAUAUCGACAGUGUUACCCCUUAUGUUCUUAUUCAUGACGACCAAUAAAAAAACAACAGUGUUACCCCUUAUGAUUUUUUUCAUGACGACCAAUAAAAAACAACAGUGUUACCCCUUAUGGAUUUUUUUCAUGACGACCAAUAAAAAACAACAGUGUUACCCCUUAUGGUUUUUUUCAUGACGACCAAUAAAAAACAACAGUGUGACCCCUGUUUUUUUUCAUGACGACCAAUAAAAAACAACAGUGUUACCCCCUGUGGUUUUUUUCAUGACGACCAAAGAAAAACAACAGUGUUACCCCCUAUGUUUUAUUUGAUAAAUAUCAACAUUGUUACCCCUUAUGUUCAUUUCAUGACGGCUGAUAAAAAACGACAGUUAGCCC
ensembl:lncRNA